rnacentral:misc_RNA from 1 species
GAUGAAGAACGUAGCGAAAUGCGAUAAGUAAUGCGAAUUGCAGAAUUUCCGUGAGUCAUCGAAUCUUUGAACGCACAUUGCGCCCACUGGUAUUCCGGUGGGCAUGCCUGUUCGAGCGUCAUUAACCUCCCUCAAACCCCGGGUUUGGUGUUGGACCCAAGUUGUGUGAACAACUGGUCUCAAAGACAAUGACGGCGUCCGUGGGACCCUCGGUGCAACGAGCUUUUAGGAGCACGCAUCGAGUUGCAAGGACCUUCCGGGCCGGUCUCCUUUACCAUUUUACAAGGUUGACCUCGGAUCAGGUAGGAAUACCCGCUGAACUUAAGCAUAUCAAUAAGCGGAGGA